rfam:Solanum lycopersicum cultivar Heinz 1706 chromosome 4, whole genome shotgun sequence.
AUGCAGAUGAUGACAAUAUUUUUGAGGAUAUAAGAAGCUCAAACUUUAUUGGAGUUUGAGCGAUGCUUUUUCCUAAUACUUCCAUGACUCUGAUGCAU